AAGUAACCUACCUCUAAGUGGGGAAUAACUUGCCGAAAGGCAGGCUAAUUCCGCAUAUGCUGAUGAGCGAAUGUUUUUCAGUAAAGCUUUCGGGUGCUUGGAGAAGGGCUUGCGUCUGAUUAGCUAGUUGGUAGGGUAAUGGCCUACCAAGGCGAUGAUCAGUAGCUGGUCUGAGAGGACGACCAGCCAGACAGGGACUGAGACACGGCCCUGACUCCUACGGGAGGCAGCAGCAAGGAAUUUUGCGCAAUGGGCGAAAGCCUGACGCAGCGACGCCGCGUGGGGGAUGAAGACCUUCGGGUUGUAAACCCCUUUUCCCGAAGAAGAAUUAUGACGGUACUCGGGGAAUAAGUCUUGGCUAACUACGUGCCAG
rnacentral:rRNA from 1 species